CAAAACUCAGGGGAAAAAAAUGCUACCUCUUCUAUGAAGCUCUCCCUGAAAAUCCCAUCUGGUCUCCCCAGGACACUUCUUGUUUUCCAUUCCUAUUGCUUCCAGGAGAGGCACUGAUGGACUGGAAAAAGAAGGGAUUAGAGGCCCAGGAGAUUGGAGUACCCAUGGAGUAAGCAUUGGUCAUGAUAAGACACUGGAAUGAAGGCACUUCAGAUUUUAAAGAGUAUAAUGUUUUGUGAUGACAAGUUCUGGGGUGUGGCUAGAGCAAUGUGAUGCAAGAGUGGACUAGAGAAGAUUGACUAAUACCUGGCAGGCAAUUCAAUUUAAGGCAGAAGAAAUUGCCAAGUCCUGCAUAAAUGUUUCAAAGGUGACAACAUGUCAAGAUGGACCAUGAAGAGCUUAACUUUUAUGAGUAACAUAUCUGUCAAAAGCUUCAGGCUGACUUUCAAGAAAAGCUGUUUAACUUUCAGUGCUACGUAAUUUAAUGAAGGAAAAAUAUGGAAUUAUUAGUUUGACCAAAUAGGAAAUGCAGAAGAAACGCUAAUAUUUUCAAUAUCUCUCAGAAUUAUACUGUCAAUCUUCAAGAGCUAAAGAAACCAAAAUGAUGAGCACUAGUUAUGAGAAACAGCUUGUCACCAUGAUGCCAGGCAUAUCUGCUAGGGCGCUAAAGUAAAUCCAGAGAUUCUUUAAACACCAUAUACAAACAAAUUUUCAACUCUAACUUUGCUGGUUACACUUAAGAAGAAAGUUAGUCUAUAAUUAUAUGGAUAUAUGAAUGCUUUUGUCGGUUAUUAAAAGUAAAUACUAACACAA